rnacentral:rRNA from 1 species
GGUAACAGGAAGAAGCUUGCUUCUUUGCUGACGAGUGGCGGACGGGUGAGUAAUGUCUGGGAAACUGCCUGAUGGAGGGGGAUAACUACUGGAAACGGUAGCUAAUACCGCAUAACGUCGCAAGACCAAAAAGGGGGACCUUUGGGCCUCUUGCCAUCGGAUGUGCCCAGAUGGGAUUAGCUAGUAGGUGGGGUAACGGCUCACCUAGGCGACGAUCCCUAGCUGGUCUGAGAGGAUGACCAGCCACACUGGAACUGAGACACGGUCCAGACUCCUACGGGAGGCAGCAGUGGGGAAUAUUGCACAAUGGGCGCAAGCCUGAUGCAGCCAUGCCGCGUGUAUGAAGAAGGCCUUCGGGUUGUAAAGUACUUUCAGCGGGGAGGAAGGGAGUAAAGUUAAUACCUUUGCUCAUUGACGUUACCCGCAGAAGAAGCACCGGCUAACUCCGUGCCAGCAGCCGCGGUAAUACGGAGGGUGCAAGCGUUAAUUGGAAUUACUGGGCGUAAAGCGCACGCAGGCGGUUUGUUAAGUCAGAUGUGAAAUCCCCGGGCUCAACCUGGGAACUGCAUCUGAUACUGGCAAGCUUGAGUCUCGUAGAGGGGGGUAGAAUUCCAGGUGUAGCGGUGAAAUGCGUAGAGAUCUGGAGGAAUACCGGUGGCGAAGGCGGCCCCCUGGACGAAGACUGACGCUCAGGUGCGAAAGCGUGGGGAGCAAACAGG